AGGCGCGACAAAUUACCAAUCCAGGUACGGGGAGGUAGUGAACGAAAAAUAACAAUACGGACUGCACUUAUGUGUGUUCGUAAUUGGAAUGAGAACAGUUUAAAUCCUUUAUCGAGGAUCCAUUGGAGGGCAAGUCUGGUGCCAGCAGCCGCGGCAAUUCCAGCUCCAAUAGCGUAUAUUAAAGUUGUUGUGGUUAAAAAGCUCGUAGUUGGAUCUCAGUUCGCGCCGGGCGGUGUGCCUUUCGGGCACUACUGCUCCGGCCGGACACUUGCCAUCGUCGUGCUGCGGUGCCCUUCAUCGGGUGUCGUAGUCGGUUGGCUGUUUACUUUGAAAAAUUAGAGUGCUCAAAGCAGGCUUGUGCCUGAAUAAUGUUGCAUGGAAUAAUGAAAUAGGACCUUGGUUCUAUUUUGUUGGUCUUCGGAGCCGAGGUAAUGAUUAAGAGGG
rnacentral:rRNA from 1 species